GGCUGCUUGGUCUAAUGGUAGGACACGGUGUCCAUAUGGCCAUCAAUAUAUCAGUCUACCCGUGAUGUGGGUCCGACUCCCACAGCAGCCG